AGCUGAUUUGGGGUGAUGUGUAGCACAUGGCAAAACCAGUGAAUUCUAUAGACAUGAGUAACAAGUCACAUCUAUAGAAUGCCCUACAUCAUAAAAUGUUCUCCUUAAUAAAGGCAAUUUUGUGUGAGUUACCCAGGUGUUGAGUAAGGCAUUCUUUAAGCCCACAAAUGGUGCUGGCAGAAGCACUGUGGGCAUAGAAGACAAACUCUUAUCUUGAAUAAGUGUCUAUUCCCAUGAAGACAAAUUGCUGUCUCCUCCACAAUGGAAAGUGUUCAGUAUAAUCAGUCUAAGACAUUGGGGCUGGCUGGCAGCCCAAGGAUAGAUGUCAUAAUGAGGCUCCAGUGUUGAUCUCUGUUGUUGGAAUAUUGAGCACCCAGCAGUGACAUUAGCUAGAUUAGUCUUGGUGAGAGGAAUCCAAGUUGGUGAGCUCAUGUAAAAUCUACCCCUGCCACCAUGGACAUUUUGUUCAUGGGCUCAUUGUGAGCCAUGUAACCUCAGACAAGGCAUUUAACCUCUAGAGCUAUGUCACAGUUUGUGUAAUAAGCAUCAAAGUGUUUAGGGAAAAGAAGUCACUUUCAGCCACACAUGGGUUGUUUUGUGCACUCCACUAGACCACAGGGAGCUGCCUCUUCAGUAGAUGCCCUUUGAGUUGGUGUCACUUCUUCCAGAAGGCUGGAGCUUCAACAGAACCUUCUACUUCCCCAUCAUAGCAUCCACCACUCACUUUGACAACUACUCCCAUACCCCGCCUCACUUACUCACCCUACUCUGUGAGUCCGGCAAAAAUGAUAAUGAAGGCUUGGUGCUCAGUCCAGUCUCAAGGAGUAAGAGAUGGCAUUGGAGCUAUGUCUCAAAGGUAAGCAGGAAUUAGGCUUUGGAGAAUGAAUGGGCAUUCUGGGUUCUCAGUAUAGCAUGAGAAAAACCAUGAAAUCAAGAAACAGCAGCAUAGGGGUGGGGAGAUAUAGCCAUGUUCACAUUAAUCAAGGUUAAUAUGAACAGAGGAGGAGCAAGUGGGGAGAAGCACAGAGGAACUCAAAAGCCAUGUCGAGGGUCUUUGGAUUGCUCUUUCCAGCCACUAAAGAGUUUUUGCUAUGGUCAGAUUGCACUUCGAGAAGACCAUUCUGGUAGUUUUGAGGAUGACACAUAGCAGGUCAGGAGAGCAGUGAGGGGAUUCCAAUUCCCUGGAGCCACAUUAUGCAUGGUGACUGUGUCCUUGAAGCUUCCUUAUCAUUGGUUCUAACAGCCAAGACAAGCUUUCAGGUUCAAUAAUUAAGCCAAUAAUAGGCUUAAGUUUUUAUGGAAGUGAGAAAAUAGUCAUGAUAAUUUUUCUGUUGGAGAUAUAUUUAAGAUAAUCUCUGAAGUAUUCAUUUUUCAUGAUACUUCUCCUAUUUUCCAAGGUUAGGUUUUCUACAGCUCUUGUUAAACCAGGAGCUGGAAGGAUGAAACUCAAAGAAUGGAUACAAUCAGUUUUAAUUUACUGUGGCUUUGUGAUAAGAAAUGAGAGGAAUGCCUUUCUGACUUUAGGCAAAUAAGAUAGAGUUCAAAAAAACUCUAGACCAAAAGAAUCUAUCAGACUUAAAAAAAAUCAUUGAUGGUUUUCACUAUCAAUUUUCUUAACAGCAUCUCACUUUUCUUAACCCCUUGAUCUCACCAGUUCAACUGUGAGUUCCUGGAUAGUUUAAGAGUUAUGACUCUUUGUACCUUAUAUACAUGUUUCAUAUUUCUCAAAAUGAACCAUCUCUUUCUUGAUAUAUUCAAAUAAUUUUUCUUAUUCUUAAAAGAAACAUGCUGUGAUACUUGGCUAUUUUUAAAUCAAUUUUAUAAAUACUGUGAUGGAAUAUGUAAGCAAAAUAUGCAUAACUAAACAACCUUUUUUCUUUCAUUAAAAUAUUUCCAUAUAUGCCUAUCUAUCUAAUGUACAUUAUUUUAUCUAACCCUAUGUGGUAAAUGUGAGUGGAAUAAUUUUAUCUGUGAGAAAAUCAAGCCCCAAUCAAAUUAGAUAAUGUGUCCAAUCAUCCAGUAAGUGACAAAGCUAGGGCACAAAUCAGGGCUUGUGAGUCAAGCCUUGUUCUUUCCACUGUGCAUUUGCCUCUCCUUGUGUCCAUUAUUGUACUAGUGCAAUUAAGAGUCUACAGCAACACCAUGAAUAGCACCAAAAGAAAGACUCCUCACCCCCAGGAAAGAUUUUAGAGGCUAAAAGGACUCUGUGGGAGAUGAACCUAAUGACAAAAGUAGAGAUCUGAGGGGGCAGGACUCAGAAGCACAGCUGAUUGUGGGUAUAUUGAGAUACAGAUAAGAAAGCUUUGUAGAGUCUUUGAAACACCUCUUAGAUCCUACUAUUACAGCCUACACAUAAAGCAGAGCGAUUAUGUUGGAUUUAUGUUUAUUUCACAGGUCAUCAUCAUUUUAUUGCCUGUUUUAUUUUAGCUCUGUAAGCCCUUAGAUACUUGAUUAGAAGACAGCAAUAUUAAAAAUAAAAUGAGUUAUUUUAAAAUUCUUUUUAAUUUUCUUUUAGUAGUUUUACAGUAUUUUUUUUUUCUAGUUUAAAUCUCUGACCUCUGGUAUAAGGUGUGAGGUAGGGAUUCAACUUAAUCUGUUUACAGAUGACUACUCAGUUUGUGCUGUGGAACUUUUUGUCCUAUUUGUAGCCACCCAGUGUCAUUUGAAUCUUAUUUCUAUACUUGUGGAUGCUGUUAAAUCAUAUUCUGCCUCAUCAGAGUAAGGCAGAUCCAAAAUCAAUUCUCCAGCUUCUCUUGUUGCUCUGAAGAAGUUGCAUGACCUAGGUUUCAUCAGUUAGAUACGCAUUCAUGAGAUCUUGAUUUGGGAAAGAACAUCAUAAGAAGGCAGGUACUACCAAACAUAAUUCCUGAAGACAGUGAUGAAGCAUACAGAUAGUAAUGUAGCAGAAAAAAUAUGGAGAAGUCAGCAACAGCAACAGCACAACCAUGGUGUGAAGUAUGGUGCCAGUACAAGAAUGGCACAGUCAAUCCUUUGAAUAGUUGGACAGGCUAAUUCAGUUUCCAAAUGUUUCUCCUCAAAGCCUAACUCUCUGGCCCAUCUGGGAAAUUUGUAAUCUAUUAAUAAUGUUUAAUAUACUUCUUUUCUGUUAAAACUGUCUCAGAUUUUAUCUAAUAAUUGCAAAUUAGGACCUAUUAAUAUAUGUACUGACACCAUUUAUUGAAUAAUUUAUCUUUUUCUCCACUGAGAUAAAUUGCACUUUUGGUGGACUUCUAUCAGUUCCUGAUAUGGCUUCUGGAAAAAUAGUAUCAGGAACCAGAUUUACUUUACUGUUUGAAACAACAAACAAACAAAAAACUAGACAAAAUACAUAAAACAAUGACUAGACAAAAUACAUGAAAACUAAACAAAAUACAUGAAACAAACAAAAAAGUAGACAAAAUACAUGAAACAAUGGGUUUCAGACAUGACAUCAAGUGGUGAGGAUAGUGAUCACUAAGAAAGGUGAAACAAAUAAAGUAAGCCCUAUGAUUGUCUCAGCUUAGUUUCUUUUUCUUUUCUUCCUCACUUCCUCAGAUCUUCAGCACCAUCAUGGGGCAACUUACUUUCUUGAGAAAGUUUUCAGGCCACAGUGCAGGAUACAGGAACUCAAGCAAGACCUGGAAGUCUCAAUUGAAUAGAGUUGGGAGAUUGGGAAGUAUAAGGCACAUAGAGUUCUUACACAUAGUGGCAUAGGGGAAGGGGUUGCAUAAAGAGAAAGUUCUAGAUUCUGUAAAAGAUUCACCUUGUCAUCAGCUAAAUACUGAUCAAAGUAUGCAAGUAAACUACUCAAAGCUAGAGAAUUAACUGUCUCAAUGGAAUGUGGUCACCAGAGUCACAGAAGGCUAGGAAUGGUCCAUGGUUAUACCAGGCAGAGUGAAAAACAUCCUAAUUCAGGGGGCCUUGGGUAGAGUCCUCUGAAGGUAAAAGCAAGCCCUGGACUAAUUGCCUCAAUAGCAUGGUAAAGUUAGCCCUAUUGUAAAAGCUGCUUGUUCCAGUUAACAAAGUUCAAAAGAAAGCCUCAAAAGGAUAAAACUGUUUUUAAGUAGCUUAGCUGCAUCUCAUAACAAAACUCAGUAGUAUUUGAAGGAGUACAAGAAUAUACAGCACCCAGCAGAGUGAAAUUCACAAUAUCUGGCAUUUGAUCAAAAAUUAUGAGACAAACUAUGCAUAAAAUGUGGAGGAAAAAAAUCAGUCAAUUGGAACAGACCCAGAAAUGUUAUAGAGGAUAGAAUUAGUAGACAGGGGUAUAAAAACAGUUAUUAUAAAUGUAUCUCAUAUGAUCAAGAAGAUAGAGGAAAGCAUGAGCAUGUGAAGGAGAGACUUGGAAUAUGACCCAAACUGUACUUCUAGAGGUGACAAAAACCAAUGUCUGUAAUGAAAAAUACCAAGGAUGGGAUUAGCAGCAGAUUAGACAUUACAGAAGAAAAAAAUUAGGAAACCUGAAGGCAGAGCAACAAAAAACAAUUCAAAAUAAAACAAACAGGGUUAAAAGGCUGAAAAAUAAUUUAACAGAACAUCAAAGAGCUGUGAGACAACUUCAAAUAGUCAAAUUUCAUGCAAUAAGAGUAUCAAAAGGAGAUAAGAGAGAGGAGAAAACAAAAAGUAUUAAAGUAAGGACUCCAAAAUUUUCAAAUCAUUUGAAAAUAUAAACUUCAGAUCCAAGAAGAUCAAUAAUUUUAAGCAUAAAAGCAUGAAUAAAACUAUAGGCAUAUCAUAAGUAAAUUGCUUAAACUCAUCAGCACACAUACAUUACAAGAAAUGUUAAAGGAAGUCCUACAGGCAGAAAGAAAAGGAUACCAGAAGGAAAUCUGGAUCUAUGCAAAAGAAUGAAAAAAAUCACAAAUGAUAACUACAUGGAUAAAUAUGUAAGGCUUUUUCUUAUUACCUUAUUCUCUCUAAUAGAUAAUUGACUUUAAACAAAAAUAAUAAAAAUGUAUUUUGGAGUUUAUGACAUAUGUGAAAGUAAAAUGCAAAACAAAUGUAUCAUAAAGGACUGAAAAUGGCAGAGUAGCGAAGUUCAAGACUGUGUCUGUCUUCUUUUUUUUUUUUUUUUGAGAUGGAGUCUCGCUCUAUCACCCAGGCUGGACUGCAGUGGCGUGAUCUCGGUUCACCACAACCUCUGCCUCCCAGGUUCCAGCAAUUCUCCUGCCUCAGCCUCCUGAGUAGCUAGGACCACUGGCAUGCACCACCAUGCUCAGCUAAUUUUUGUAUUUUUAGUAGAGUCAGUGUUUUAUCAUGUUAGCCAGGAUGGUCUCAAUCCCUUGACCUCAUGAUCUGCCUGCUUUGGCCUCCCAAAGUGCUGGGAUUACAGGCAUGAGCCACCACGCCCGGCCAAAAACUGUAUCUGUCUUCUAAAGCAAUGGUUAAGUUAGCAAGAGCUGUCAUAGUCAACUUUUACAGAAAUCUGGAACAUAAUAAAAAACUUACAACACCCAGAGGAUGCUAAAUGAAGAAAGAAGCAGCCACAUUUUAGUAAGGGAGCACUGUAGCAUUUUAACUUACCCACCUACAAAAUCCACUUUCUAGAUCAGCAGCAGCAGUGACUAAACAAGUCUUGAUACAUUUUAAAAGAUUGAAAUUAUACAAGGUAUCUUUUUGACCACUGGUGAAUUAAACUAGAAAUCAUUAACAGAAAGAAAACUAGAAAAUUCACAAAGUAUAAAUUAAACAACAU
rnacentral:lncRNA from 1 species